rnacentral:rRNA from 1 species
UACAUGGGGUGCAAACGUUGUUCGGAAUUACUGGGCGUAAAGCGCGUGUAGGCUGUUCGGAAAGUCGGGUGUGAAAGCCCGGGGCUCAACCCAGGAAGUGCACUCGAAACUCCCGAACUGGAGUCCUGGAGAGGAAGGCGGAAUUCUCGGUGUAGAGGUGAAAUUCGUAGAUAUCGAGAGGAACAUCGGUGGCGAAGGCGGCCUUCUGGACAGUGACUGACGCUGAGACGCGAAAGCGUGGGGAGCAAACAGG